UGCUGUCAGUGUGGCUCUGCCAGUCC
rnacentral:piRNA from 1 species